ACGUAGGGGGCCAGCGUUGUUCGGAAUUACUGGGUGUAAAGGGUCAGUAGGCGGUGUGGCAAGUCGGGAGUGAAAUCUCUGGGCUCAACUCAGAGGCUGCUUCCGAAACUGCUGUGCUUGAGUGUGGGAGAGGCGCGUGGAAUUGCAGGUGUAGCGGUGAAAUGCGUAGAUAUCUGCAGGAACACCCGUGGCGAAAGCGGCGCGCUGGACCACAACUGACGCUGAAUGACGAAAGCUAGGGGAGCAAACAGGA
rnacentral:rRNA from 1 species